GGAGGGAGGAAGGAGAAGCGGAGGAAGAUGAUAUACCGCAAGUGGAGUCUGCUCACUGGUCCCGCCGCCAUACUCAGCGGCAUCGUGGCCACUGUGGUCGUCGCCAUUUACAUCUUCGUCGAACACGAUCCAUUCCGCAAGCAAGAGCAGAAGCAGACUCAUGCACAAACAUUGGUGAAGUGAUUAUGGGGAGAUGAACUCCACUCCUUUCAGUUUCUUCACCGUAUUCCAAGUUUGGUUCCGGAGAAAUGUAUAUGACUUGGGAUCUCUUACCAGAUUCUGCGGGACGAUCUUUAAUAUAGUUUGUCAAUGUUCUUGAACCUCGUGUUUGAAUAAAAGGCUAAAAUUAAAUUUCAUCGGAGUACGUGCGGGAAUAAUCGCUUUUACCUGCUGGCUUGGGUUACGAGUGUAGAAGAAUCAGCAAAUAAACAGAGGCCCCAAGGCUGCAGGAGGAGAGUAGAGGAUGAGUAGGGGCAAAAAUGUUUUCUCAGGAUAUGCACGACCGCAGGAGCAUCUAUUUUAUUAAUAACUUCCGAAAAGCGCUUGUGCCGGUACUCAAUUUUACCCAGCCUUCUUGCGGUGGGGAAGAACUGUUCUUUCGCAUCAUUUAGAGGGGCAUUCGUGAUGAUACUAACUUGACAAAGUUGAUUGGAA